UGGGGGAAUAUUGGGCAAUGGGCGAAAGCCUGACCCAGCAACGCCGCGUGAAGGAAGAAGGUCUUCGGAUUGUAAACUUCUUUUAUCAGGGACGAAGGAAGUGACGGUACCUGAUGAAUAAGCCACGGCUAACUACGUGCCAGCAGCCGCGGUAAUACGUGGGUGCGAGCGUUAUCCGGAUUUACUGGGUGUAAAGGGCGCGUAGGCGGGAAUGCAAGUCAGAUGUGAAAUCUAUGGGCUUAACCCAUAAACUGCAUUUGAAACUGCAUUUCUUGAGUGUCGGAGAGGUAGACGGAAUUCCUAGUGUAGCGGUGAAAUGCGUAGAUAUUAGGAGGAACACCAGUGGCGAAGGCGGUCUACUGGACGAUAACUGACGCUGAGGCGCGAAAGCGUGGGGAGCAAACAGGAUUAGAUACCCUGGUAGU
rnacentral:rRNA from 1 species